AUCUCUUCGGAUUACUUCGAUAUAGAUGUUUCAAGUUCAGACUAAAGUUUAAUUAACAAGUCAAGAAUAAACUAAGGCACUUAUAGGAUAAUAUGGCCAAAUAAUUUAAUCGUACAUUUUUAUUCCAAAUUCAUAAUUCAAAUCAACCAACCGACCAACGUUCCAAGAGAUAAAUUUAAUUAUGUAUAAAUGAAACGAAAUUUAUUUACAUCGUUUAAAAUACUACAAAGGAUCCAAGGCACCUUAAGUCUGAAGCUUGGUACACGACGAAGAACAUAUCUGAAACACUUCAACAAAGUAAUUAUUUCAAGUUCAGAUUCAAAAUUAAUUGAUAAGUCUGUUGAAAGCGUUGAACAUAUUCAAAAGGACUCGAGGCACUAUAAGUCUGCAGCUUGGUACACGACGAAGAACAUAUCUGAAACACUUCAACAAAGUAAUUAUUUCAAGUUCAGAUUCAAAAUUAAUUGAUAAGUCUGUUGUAACCGUUGAAUAGAUUCCAAAGGAUGACUCAAGGCACUAUAAGUUCAGCUAUAUAAACUAGGAGUGAAAGGUAGCAAUGUUUUGAAACUUCGAAAGUCCAUCGAACAGCUUUGUACCACCACUGCAAUAAAAAGAAAAAUCAAUUGGGACUCAAGUAGAACAGAAUAUUUUUGGAAGAAUCCUGAAUUUAAAUCCUGAAACCAAUUCUCAGGUAAAAUUAUUCUUACUCUUUUUGAAACGUUGUUUUCGGAGUCACCUCCAGUCUCAUAUCAAUAAAACUUUGUCAUACUUUAGAAAAAUAUGCUAUUAAGAUAACUACAAGUCCUGUAUUGGACCUCAAUGUAGAAUAAUCUUUA